rnacentral:rRNA from 1 species
UACGGGGGGAGCAAGCGUUGUUCGGAUUUACUGGGCGUAAAGGGCGCGUAGGCGGCCACCGCAAGUCGAUUGUGAAAUCUCCGGGCUUAACCCGGAAAGGUCAACCGAUACUGCGGGGCUAGAGUGCAGAAGGGGCAACUGGAAUUCUCGGUGUAGCGGUGAAAUGCGUAGAUAUCGAGAGGAACACCUGCGGCGAAGGCGGGUUGCUGGGCUGACACUGACGCUGAUGCGCGAAAGCUAGGGGAGCGAACAGG